UUAAUGUUCCUUCAUAACAAGCUCAGACUGAACAGGGGCAGUACAACAAAGGAAUUUGAUGCUUUCCUCCCGCGGGGUCGCAGCAGCGAUCAAAAUGACCCCCGCGCUGGCAGGCCAAGACACGACGUGCGCAUCUCGCCCAGCCCCACGGAAGCAACAGGUAACAUACUCAGAGUGAAUAGAAGCAAUUGAGUGCGCGGCGGCAUACUCAUACAUGGUAAUGAUCCUUCCGCAGGUUCACCUACGGAAA
rnacentral:misc_RNA from 1 species